rnacentral:rRNA from 1 species
UACGUAGGGUGCGAGCGUUGUCCGGAAUUACUGGGCGUAAAGAGCUCGUAGGUGGUUUGUCGCGUUGUUCGUGAAAACUCACAGCUUAACUGUGGGUCUGCGGUGGAUACGGGCAGGCUGGAGGCUGGUAGGGGCAAGCGGAAUUCCUGGUGUAGCGGUGAAAUGCGCAGAUAUCAGGAGGAACACCAAUUGCGAAGGCAGCUCGCUGGGACGUUACUGACGCUGAGACGCGAAAGCGUGGGGAGCAAACAGG